GGGGAUUUGGCUCAGUGGUAGAGCGCUUGACUCACAAGCGCAAGGCCCUGGGUUCGAUCCCCAGCUCCA
rnacentral:tRNA from 1 species